rnacentral:rRNA from 1 species
AUACGUAGGUGGCAAGCGUUGUCCGGAAUUAUUGGGCGUAAAGCGCGCGCAGGCGGUCCUUUAAAUCUGAUGUGAAAGCCCACGGCUCAACCGUGGAGGGUCAUUGGAAACUGGGGGACUUGAGUGCAGAAGAGGAAAGUGGAAUUCCAAGUGUAGCGGUGAAAUGCGUAGAGAUUUGGAGGAACACCAGUGGCGAAGGCGACUUUCUGGUCUGUAACUGACGCUGAGGCGCGAAAGCGUGGGGAGCAAACAGGAUUAGAUACCCUGGUAGUCCACGCCGUAAACGAUGAGUGCUAAGUGUUAGGGGGUUUCCGCCCCUUAGUGCUGCAGCUAACGCAUUAAGCACUCCGCCUGGGGAGUACGGUCGCAAGACUGAAACUCAAAUGAAUUGACGGGG